GCGAUAAAGGCUCAAAGGUCCUUUUGUCGUUCAUUUGCGUCGUCGGCCGGUUGCCGCGAAACGCUCCCGGGCUACUUGUGCGUUGCCCCUUCAUCGUCGGUAUCGGAGCCCAGCGCCGGAAAACCACUCAAGUGUUCGUUUCCUCGUGCGUGAGUUACGUCGUUUUCUCUCCUGUUGUCAUGUGCCUUUUUGAUACCCAUGAACGAGUGGAUGAAGACACACAGAAUGGACUUCGCCCUUGCGGUCCCUCUACUUUUGGCUUUGACAGGGCUUACUGCAGCUUACCCAACAGAGCAGUGUGCCGCUUAUUGCAGAGACUCCGGUAAAACUCAGUUUGAUGUUGGUUAUCACUACAACAUAUAAUUACAACGCAGAGACUAGCUCCAAAGUUGGAGGAUUGAAGAACUUGAUAGCCAAAGUGCCACAUUGAACAUCUCAGCUACUGUUGACAUUCAUGUCUUGACACCCUGUGAAUAUAGUCUACAGGUAAGGUCAUUUUUCAAACGAAAAUUUACAAAAUUUUCCCUUCGGAAAUCCUUUUAUCUUCAUACUUUCACGUUCCAAAUCGACACGGCACUGAAUAAACUACUGGACAAAUUUGAAAAUAUCAGCACGAAUUAUUAGUUUGAACUUUUGUACCUAUCCUAU
rnacentral:lncRNA from 1 species